UCUUGGGUCUCUCAACUACUCUAGGCUAGGCUAAGCUAAACUAAACUAAGGUAAGCUAGGUUCUUGGGUCCUUCAGCUACUGUAUCCUAUGCUAAGCUAAGCUAAGCUAGGUCCUCUUGGGUCCCUCAGCUACUCUAGACUAUGCUAAGCUUAGCUAAGCUAAGCUGAGCUAGGUCCUCUUGGGUCCCUCAGCUACACUAGCCUAAGCUAAGCUAAGCUGAGCCAGGUCCUCUUGGGUCCCUCAGCUACUCUAGCCUAAGCUAAGCUAAGCUAAGCUAAGCUAGUUCCUCUUGGGUCCCUCAGCUACUCUAGCCUAAAGUGAGCUAAGCUAGGUCCUCUUGGGUCCCUGAACUACUCUAGCCUAAGCUAAGCUAAGCUAGGAUCACUUGGGUC